GCGGACUCAUUCCAGCCAAUCAGCAGCAGACCCUCCCUCCCAGACCCUCCCACCUCCUGGACAGCAUCCAUUUUGAAGCUGCAUUCUUAGUGAGCUGUCCAGGAGUUGGCAGGGUCUGGGAGGGAGGGUCUGCUGCUGAUUGGCUGGAAUGAUGAG